rnacentral:rRNA from 1 species
AGAGUUUGAUCCUGGCUCAGGAUAAACGCUGGCGGCGCACAUAAGACAUGCAAGUCGAACGGAAGUCGUUACGAAAUGGAAUGAAGAUUUAUCUGAUUGAAGUUUUGUAACAAUGGCUUUAGUGGCGGACUGGUGAGUAACACGUAAGCAAUCUACCUAUUAGAGGGGAAUAACAAUGAGAAAUCAUUGCUAAUACCGCAUAAGCUUGUAGUACCGCAUGGUACAGCAAGAAAAGGAGCAAUCCGCUAAUAGAUGAGCUUGCGGCUGAUUAGCUAGUUGGUGUGGUAACGGCAUACCAAGGCAACGAUCAGUAGCCGGGCUGAGAGGCUCUUCGGCCACAUUGGGACUGAGAUACGGCCCAGACUCCUACGGGAGGCAGCAGUCGGGAAUUUUGCGCAAUGGAGGAAACUCUGACGCAGUGACGCCGCGUAUAGGAAGAAGGUUUUCGGAUUGUAAACUAUUUUAGUCAGGGAAGAAAAAUGACAGUACCUGAAGAAUAAGCUCCGGCUAACUACGUGCCAGCAGCCGCGGUAAUACGUAGGGAGCAAGCGUUAUCCGGAUUUAUUGGGUGUAAAGGGUGCGUAGACGGGAAGACAAGUUGGUUGUGAAAGCCCUCGGCUCAACUGAGGAACUGCAACCAAAACUAUCAUUCUUGAGUGCGGGAGAGGAAAGUGGAAUUCCUAGUGUAGCGGUGAAAUGCGUAGAUAUUAGGAGGAACACCAGUGGCGAAGGCGACUUACUGGACUGUAACUGACGUUGAGGCACGAAAGUGUGGGGAGCAAACAGGAUUAGAUACCCUGGUAGUCCACACCGUAAACGAUGAUUACUAGGUGUGGGGGGACUGACCCCUUCCGUGCCGGAGUUAACACAAUAAGUAAUCCACCUGGGGAGUACGGCCGCAAGGUUGAAACUCAAAGGAAUUGACGGGGGCCCGCACAAGCAGUGGAGUAUGUGGUUUAAUUCGAAGCAACGCGAAGAACCUUACCAGGGCUUGACAUAUACAGGAAUACUUAAGAAAUUAGGUAGUCUUUCGAGACUUGUAUACAGGUGGUGCAUGGUUGUCGUCAGCUCGUGUCGUGAGAUGUUGGGUUAAGUCCC